UACAGAGGGGGCAAGCGUUAUUCGGAAUUAUUGGGCGUAAAGGGCGCGUAGGCGGCUUUGCAAGUGGCGGGUGAAAUCCCUCGGCUUAACCGAGGAACUGCCUGUCAAACUGCAUGGCUUGAGACCAGGAGAGGUGAGUGGAAUUCCCAGUGUAGCGGUGAAAUGCGUAGAUAUUGGGAGGAACACCAGUGGCGAAGGCGGCUCACUGGACUGGUACUGACGCUGAGACGCGAAAGCGUGGGGAGCGAACCGG
rnacentral:rRNA from 1 species